rnacentral:rRNA from 1 species
GACGAACGCUGGCGGCGUGCUUAACACAUGCAAGUCGAACGAUGAAGCUGGAGCUUGCUCUGGUGGAUUAGUGGCGAACGGGUGAGUAACACGUGAGUAACCUGCCCUGGACUCUGGGAUAACCCCGAGAAAUCGGAGCUAAUACCGGAUAGGACCUUGCACCGCAUGGUGUGGGGUGGAAAGUUUUUCGGUCUGGGAUGGACUCGCGGCCUAUCAGCUUGUUGGUGAGGUAAUGGCUCACCAAGGCGUCGACGGGUGGCCGGUCUGAGAGGGUGAGCGGCCAUACGGGUACUGGGACACGGCCCGCAAUCCGACGGGAGGCAGCAGUGGGGAAUAUUGCACAGUGGGCGCAAGCCUGAUGCAGCGACGCCGCGUGCGGGAUGACGGCCCUCGGGUUGUAAACCGCUUUUAGUAAGGAAGAAGGGGCUUCGGCCUUGACGGUACUUGCAGAAAAAGGACCGGCUAACUACGUGCCAGCAGCCGCCGUAAGAC